rnacentral:rRNA from 1 species
CAGGAUAGAGGAUAGCUGACGGAAGUGGAAUUCCUGGUGGAGAGGUAAAAUCCGUAGAUAUCAGGAGGAACACCCGUGGCGUAGGCGGCUUCCGAACCUAUUCCGGACACUCAGGGACGAAAGCUAGGGGAGCAAACAGGAUUAGAUACCCUGGUAGUCCUAGCUGUAAACGAUGAAUACUAGAUAGUGGGUGCUACACCGUACUCACCGUCGUAGCUAACGCGUUAAGUAUUUCGCCUGGGAACUACGAUCGCAAGUUUGAAACUCAAAGGAAUUGACGGGUCCCCGCACAAGCAGCGAGGCAUGUGGCUUAAUUCGAUGCAACACGAAGAACCUUACCUGGACUUGACAUGUUUCUGAAAGGCCGGAGAAACCCGGUCCCUUCCAGUUUACUGGAACAGUUUCACAGGUGGUGCAUGGUUGUCGUCAGCUCGUGUCGUGAGAUGUAAGGUUAAGUCCUUAAACGAGCGUAACCUUUGUCAUUAGUUGCCACCGGUUCGGCCGAGCACUCUAAUGAGACCGCUAGCGACAAGCUAGAGGAAGAUGGAGAUGACGUCAAAUCCUCACGUCCCUUAUGUCCAGGGCCGCACACAUGCGACAAUGGUAGAGACAGCGGGUUGCGACGGGGUAACCCUGAGCUAAUCCAUAAACUCUGCCUCAGUACAGAUCGAGGGCUGAAAUUCGACCUCGUGAAGAUGGAGUUGCUAGUAAACGCAGGUCAGCUAUACUGCGUUGAAUACGUUCCCGGGGAUUGUACACACCGCCCGUCACACCACCUGAGUCGUGCGCACCCGAAGUCGGAUACCCUAACCUUUGGAAGGGUCUGCCGAAGGUGUGCUCGGUAAGGAGGGUGAAGU